CGCCGCGUGAGCGAUGAAGGCCUUCGGGGUGUAAAGCUCUUUCGACAGGGACGAUAAUGACGGUACCUGAAGAAGAAGCUGCGGCUAACUACGUGCCAGCAGCCGCGGUAAUACGUAGGCGGCGAGCGUUGUUCGGAAUUACUGGGCGUAAAGGGUGUGUAGGCGGUGCUCUAAGUUCGGUGUGAAAUCUCCGGGCUCAACUGGGAGGGUGCGCCCGAAACUGGAGUGCUUGAGUGUGGGAGAGGAAAGUGGAAUUCCUGGUGUAGCGGUGAAAUGCGUAGAUAUCAGGAGGAACACCUGUGGUGUAGACGGCUUUCUGGACCAUUACUGACGCUGAGGCACGAAAGCUUGGGUAGCAAACAGGAUUAGAUACCCUGGUAGUCCACGCCCUAAACGAUGCAUACUUGGU
rnacentral:rRNA from 1 species